rnacentral:rRNA from 1 species
CCUACGGGAGGCAGCAGUAGGGAAUUUUCGUCAAUGGGCGCAAGCCUGAACGAGCAAUGCAGCGUGAACGAGGACGGUCUUCGGAUCGUAAAGUUCUGUUGAAGGGGAAAAAGAGCGGAGAGAGGAAAUGCUUUUUGAUGUAUAUUACCCUUCGAGGCAGUCACGGCUAACUACGUGCGAGCAGCCGAGGUAAUACGUAGGUGGCGAGGGUUAUCCGGAAUGAUUGGGAGUAAAGGGUGCGUAGGCGGCCUGCUAAGUCUGGAGUGAAAGGUACCGGCUCAACCGGUACAGGCUCUGGAAACUGGCGGGCUAGAGAGCAGGAGAGGGCGGUGGAACUCCAGGUGUAGCGGUACAAUGCGUAGAUAUAUGGAAGAACACCAGUGGCGAAGGCGGCCGCCUGGCCUGUUACUGACGCUGAGGCACGAAAGCGUGGGGAGCAAAUAGGAUUAGAUACCCUUGUAGUC